AGAUGGUAUAUAAAGGCCCCUUCAUCCUAAAUAUUAGCACAACGUGCUUGAACAGAUCAACUGAAACCAAAUCAGAACUGAAAAUGGGAAAGGUAAGAUUAUCUGACAAAAUGAAUAAAAUGAGGCAACAUAAGAAAGAUUAGAAACAAUAGCCGGAAUAUUUGUUGAAAUAUAAACCAACAAUUAAUAUUUUGAAGACAUGCUUUCAAUAGAAGACACAGAGAUUGUUCACAAAUUUGUCAGUAAGAAGAAAGAAAAAAGCACCUGGGGAAACCGUUUAGAAGGUAAACCCUAAAUGACCAGGAGUAACCCCAAAGUAAUCAAAUAAAACUUAGCUUUUAAUAAAUACUUAAAUAUCUGAUCCUAAAUGUGCAACAUAUCUGCAGAAAAUAUCCACAGAAAAAAAUUAUAAUAGGUAGAAAAAAGUAAAUUGAAUUAAUUAGAAUGAUAUUUGGUAAUCACUAAUCCAGAAAUCAAGAUAAAUACAUUUAUAGAGUCUGUAAAAGUAAUGUGUAUCUAGAACAAAAAAGCAACAAAUUUGUUAACACAAAUAAAGAUAAAUUAAAUUAACAAGAUGUAACCUAUAUCUGUUACAUUAGAUCACAUCAAAUAUGGUCCGGAGGAGAGUACUAUAAUAUCUCAGACAAGGUACAAAGUGACUAUAAUAUCCUGCAGGAAAUGAAGAUUCCCUACUCUGAUGUCCCUUCGUGGGCACCCCUUAAUAAAAUUCUGAGUAUCCUCCUCCCCCCUCCAAUGGUAAUAAUCUCACGAUGAAAAAAGUGUAUAUAUCCAAACAAAAAAUAGAAAACAAAAAUAAAUAUAAUUAAAAAUAGAUAAAGAAGGUAUAAAAAAAGAGGUCAUAGUGCUUGUCAUCCCACAUCUAUAGGAUCAACUAAAUACUCUUGACGCGUGUUUCGACGCUAAGGCUCUUCCAGGGGACAAAUUUGUCAGUGAAUAACAGCCAUAAGAUAUCACUAGCUGUCAACCUAUUAACAACUGGAAGCUUGUAGUGGCAACAAAUUACCACCAUAUUUCCAGCCUUGUUAAUACAUUUUGGUAGCCUUUCAUGAAAAAAAGCUGGGCCUUGUGCUGGUAAAGCAAAGAAGCAUACACCUUGUGUGGCCAAUAGUGACAGGGAAUUUGCAUCUGGCUGGUAAAAUUUAGUGACAGGGUUGAAACAAGAUUUUUGUUUUUAACAGGAUGUUUAGAGAUGGACUGUCACUGACCACUUUACACCAAAUCAGAGUUAAUAGGAGUCAUUAGCCACUACUAAGCGACUGGUUUUCAGUAUUGGCUGCCUGUAACUCCCAGUUGCUACUUGUGAAGUCAGGAACUUCGCCUGAGCAGUUACGAGAGGCAUCAUCAAGGGUAGUGACUAGUCAAUAAAACGUAGUGACAAAGUUGUAAACAAACCCAUAGAAUUUUUUUGACUGAACAAAGAAUUGUGGUGAGCAAAUGUGAGUGGAUAACAAACAAGUUUAAAAAUGUAGGUAAAAAAGCUUCUUACUUCUUCCUGUCCCUAACUCCAAGUCUAGUUUUAAAAGAAAAAAGUUAAAUUUCAGAGGGCAAUUACUAAGGAUAUUCACUAUUAGCUAUCACUUGCCACUGGGAUAAAUCAUGAAAUCAGCUCCACAACUUAGUCUGUGGUUGGUCAUAUUAUGUAUUCCAAUCUCAAACUUAACAGCCAUGCUGAUUCCACCAUUAGAUAGCUAAUAUAAUGCUGGCUUCCGAGGGUGUGGAUUGGAGGAGCAUGGCCAUGAUGAGGUAUUUCCAUCAUACAAUUUGUACCACUGAGGUGGUCUAGUACCCGCCCAAGCCUUUCUGUCUCUUUGUACUUGUAAAAGGAAUAAAUGCAUGCAUUACAAAAUGGUAGCAGAAUAUAUUACUUCAUAAGUUAUUAAACGGCAACCAAAUAAGCAAAUGCACAUGAAUCAAAUCAGCAUCACUUUAUAUUGGCCAUAAACAGCACACUGGAUUUUUCUUGUUAUAAUUGUAUAUCCGAAGCCCAUGAAUUUAAACCAUUUUCAAAGCUUUAGUGAUUGUAUAAUUUAUACAUUUGUUUAAUUUAUGAGCCCUUGUAAUUUUUUAUGUUUGAUACAUCAUUAGCAACUAAAUCAAAAACAAUAAUACAUUCAAAAGUAUAAAAUAUUCUAAUUCAUAAUUUCAUUCAUAGAUUGUCUUCUACGAAGAUCGUAACUUUAAGGGCCGCUCUUAUGAGUGCAGCUCUGAGAUUUGUCCUCAUAUUUUCGCCUUUGCAAUUCCAUCCGAGUGGAAUGUGGAAACUGGAUAUUGUAUGAGCACCCAAACUACAACGGACACCAGUAUUACCUUAACAUGGGAGAGUAUCCUAUUUUAAAGCAAUGGAUGGGUUUCAACGACUCCAUCAAAUCCUGUCAUAUUAUCCCACAGGUAAAUACAUUUACCAGAGCAGUUGAGAAUUUUACAAACAUAUAAUUAAAGAUGCAGUCCAAAAAAAGCAUCCUUGGUUCUUCUAUGAUUAAUUAAGGUUUCACUUUAAUAUAUAUUCUUGUCUUUUUAAUAACAUUGUUAAAUAUUUAAUGCAAUAUAUUCUUAAUUGACUAAGACCUAUAUAUACUGAUAAUUCGCAACUGAACACCAGCUACUUGUGUCGGUGCUCUAAUUGCGAAAAACAAGUUAAAGUACCAAAAAAGAGACUCCAGGGGUCUCAAGGGGCUUAACCCCGGGAAUAAAAAAAAAUAUAUAGAGAAAAACGCAAUGCUUAUCACAAUCUCCAAGAAAAUUGUGACUCGCUGUGUAUCCUGGAGAUAUACAGUAGUCUAAACAAAAAUACUUAAAUAAUAUUAGGAUAUCCCUAAAAGGUGAGGGUUAUACAAUAAAAAUAAAUAUAAAUAAUAAUAAUAAUAAUAAUAAUUGACUAAGACAGCAGUAACUUUCAUGGCAACAGGUGGGUCGAUAUUACACUGUCAAUAUAGGCAUGAUAUUCACAUGAAAUGAUGCAAUUCUUUUCCAUGCUAUUUAUUAAUUAUAUAUUUUUUAAUCGCAUGAAGCACCUUGGUUCAUUCAGAGUGAAGGUCUAUGAGAUGGAUGAUUUCCGAGGUCAGAUGAUGGAAUCCACUGAAGAUUGUCCUAAUGUCAAUGAGAGAUUCCGUUACCAUGACAUCAACUCCUGCCAGGUGCUUGAUGGUUACUGGAUGUUCUAUGAGGAACCACAUUACAGGGGCCGCCAGUAUUACCUGAGACCUGGAGAGUACAGAAGAUAUACUGACUGGGGUGCCAUGAGCCCAAAAAUUGGCUCAUUCAGGAGACUCAAGCAGUUCUAAGAUGUUAUUUUAAAU